rnacentral:rRNA from 1 species
CGCCCAAUUCUCUCACAUGCAGAGAACUGUGUUAAGGACCCGAUCGUACCGGCGUCCGGUACCAUCGAGUAGGCCGCCAGACGUGCAGCCGCCCGUAUACGCGCUCGAGUGGUGACCACUUUAUUGGCUAAGCGUCGUAGCUUGAUUUUAAGUCUCUUGGAAUCUCACGGGCUUAACCUGUGAGGGCGUCUAAGAGAUACUGGGAAUCUAGGGACCGGGAGAGGUAAGAGGUACCUCCAGGGGUAGAAGUGAAAUUCUGUAAUCCUUGAGGGACCACCGAUGGCGAAGGCAUCUUACCAGAACGGCUUCGACAGUGAGGAACGAAAGCUGGGGGAGCGAACGGGAUUAGAUACCCCGGUAGUCCGGAGCCGUAAACUAUGCGCGUUAGGAGAGCCUGUAACUACGAGUUACCGGGGUGCCGAAAUAUGGAGUAGAAAAACGUGCCGCCUGGGAAGUACGGUCGCAAGGCUGAAACUUAAAGGAAUUGGCGGGGGAGCACAAAAAAAAGUGGGGCCUGCGGUUUAAUUGGACUCAACGCCGGGCAGCUCACCGGAUAGGACAGCGGAAUGAUAGCCGGGCUGAAGACCUUGCUUGACCAGCUGAGAGGAGGUGCAUGCCAUCGUCAGUUCGUACUGGAAGCCUCCGAUAGUCAGCGGCAGCGAGACCCUAAUCAGAGCGGCGACGAUCCUACUAGAACCCAGCACAGCGGCGAUAGUCCCU